rnacentral:rRNA from 1 species
GAUGAACGCUGGCGGCGUGCCUAACACAUGCAAGUCGAGCGAUUUACUUCGGUAAAGAGCGGCGGACGGGUGAGUAACGCGUGGGUAACCUGCCCUGUACACACGGAUAACAUACUGAAAGGUAUGCUAAUACGGGGUAACAUAAGAGAGUCGCAUGGCUUUCUUAUCAAAGCUUUUGCGGUACAGGAUGGACCCGCGUCUGAUUAGCUAGUUGGUAAGGUAACGGCUUACCAAGGCGACGAUGAGUAGCCGACCUGAGAGGGUGAUCGGCCACAUUGGAACUGAGACACGGUCCAAACUCCUACGGGAGGCAGCAGUGGGGAAUAUUGCACAAUGGGCGAAAGCCUGAUGCAGCAACGCCGCGUGAGCGAUGAAGGCCUUCGGGUCGUAAAGCUCUGUCCUAAAGGAAGAUAAUGACGGUACUUGAGGAGGAAGCCCCGGCUAACUACGUGCCAGCCGCCGCAGUAA